rnacentral:lncRNA from 1 species
UGGUGGUAACUGUGGGGAGCCCAUUGUGAUGUGCUUUGACUCCAUGGUUGUCAUGGUCCUGUGUAGCCAGUCUGCAGGUGCUGUGCUCAGGAGAGCUGCAAGUGUCCUGCUCCAGCAGGAGUGGAGAAAACAGCAAAAGAACAAUGCUGCCCAUUGGCACCCAUCGAGCGUGGGUCGUCAUGGUCCUGAUCCUGCUCUGUAGCAUCCAUUCACUUCUUGCAGCCCCAGUGCAGCAAGGUUUAGGACAAAGUGAAGCAGCACCCCACAGUCCCAACAUGACACUGAAAGGUGUAUUCGAAUCUCUCUUAAGCUUCUUCAGGCCAAUGACAUGCCGUCUCAGCAACGAGCAGCCCUUAAUUCCUUGUCAAGUAGAAAGUCUUAAUAAAUCUGAGUGCUUGAAAAAUCGCUGUUGUCCUAUGAAAAUUGGCCAGGACCUGCAGUGUCACAUGCCGGUUAAAGACGAUGUGCAACUGGCAAUUCGACUGAUUUUGCUCACCGGAGGAGGAUUUUUGAUUUUGGGGCUUCUACCAAUCUGCUGCUGUGCCAUUUUGCAGAGAAGUCCAUGUGUCAAUCCUGUACAAGGGAUAAGCAAAAAAGUUCGGCAGAUUGCACGAGAGAGAAGAGAACGUCGUGAGGACACUAAUGAUGAAGAGGUUCAUUUACUGGAUUGACUUAAGAAAGAACCAUGAGGACAAAAAAAAGGAGUGUAUAGGAACAUCCACCUCCUCUUGAAGACCAAGCUGAAGACACCAGGAUUAUUUGACUACCUCUUAGAAAAUGACAAUUUGGUUUUAGUAUUGAAGUAAUAUGAUGUUGUUAACCCUUGAUAAUACUAUUGAUUUUACAAUAAAAGUUCUUCAUUCAC